ACGGGUGAGUAAUGUCUGGGGAUCUGCCCGAUAGAGGGGGAUAACCACUGGAAACGGUGGCUAAUACCGCAUAACGUCGCAAGACCAAAGAGGGGGACCUUCGGGCCUCUCACUAUCGGAUGAACCCAGAUGGGAUUAGCUAGUAGGCGGGGUAACGGCCCACCUAGGCGACGAUCCCUAGCUGGUCUGAGAGGAUGACCAGCCACACUGGAACUGAGACACGGUCCAGACUCCUACGGGAGGCAGCAGUGGGGAAUAUUGCACAAUGGGCGCAAGCCUGAUGCAGCCAUGCCGCGUGUAUGAAGAAGGCCUUCGGGUUGUAAAGUACUUUCAGCGGGGAGGAAGGCAGUGAGGUUAAUAACCUUACUGAUUGACGUUACCCGCAGAAGAAGCACCGGCUAACUCCGUGCCAGCAGCCGCGGUAAUACGGAGGGUGCAAGCGUUAAUCGGAAUUACUGGGCGUAAAGCGCACGCAGGCGGUCUGUUAAGUCAGAUGUGAAAUCCCCGGGCUUAACCUGGGAACUGCAUUUGAAACUGGCAGGCUUGAGUCUCGUAGAGGGGGGUAGAAUUCCAGGUG
rnacentral:rRNA from 1 species